GUCCUUGUGGCACAGCAGUUAAGCACUUGGCUGCUAACCAAAAUGUUGGUGGUUUAAACCCACCCAGCGGUA
rnacentral:tRNA from 1 species